CCCUUAGAUGUUCUGGGCCGCACGCGCGCUACACUGAUGCAUUCAACGAGUCUAAAACCUGCUCUGAUAGGGGUGGGUAAUCUUUUGAAUGUGCAUCGUGAUUGGGAUAGAUGAUUGCAAUUUUUCAUCUUCAACGAGGAAUGCCUAGUAAACGCAAGUCAUCAGCUUGCAUUGAUUACGUCCCUGCCCUUUGUACACACCGCCCGUCGCUCCUACCGAUUGAAUGAUCCGAUGAAUAUCAUGGAUUGAGGAUGCAAGCAGGUUCGCCUGUCUUCAUCUUCGAGAAGUGAAGUAAAUCUUAUCAUUAGAGGAAGGAGAAGUCGUAACA
rnacentral:rRNA from 1 species